UACGGAGGAUCCGAGCGUUAUCCGGAUUUAUUGGGUUUAAAGGGUGCGCAGGUUGUUUGAUAAGUCAGUGGUGAAAGUCUGUCGCUUAACGGUAGGAUUGCCAUUGAUACUGUUGGACUUGAAUAUGGAUGAGGUAGGCGGAAUGUGUAGUGUAGCGGUGAAAUGCAUAGAUAUUACACAGAACACCGAUUGCGAAGGCAGCUUACUAAUCCAUAGUUGACGCUGAGGCACGAAAGCGUGGGGAUCAAACAGGAUUAGA
rnacentral:rRNA from 1 species